rnacentral:rRNA from 1 species
UACGGGGGAUGCAAGCGUUAUCCGGAAUGAUUGGGCGUAAAGCGUCCGCAGGCGGCCUUGAAAGUCUGUCGUUAAAGCGUGGAGCUUAACUCCAUUUCGGCGAUGGAAACUACAAGGCUAGAGUGUGGUAGGGGCAGAGGGAAUUCCCGGUGUAGCGGUGAAAUGCGUAGAUAUCGGGAAGAACACCAGUGGCGAAGGCGCUCUGCUGGGCCAUAACUGACGCUCAUGGACGAACGCCAGGGGAGCGAAAGGG